UAUCACUUCCGGGUUUGAAAACGUGCUUCGUGAUUACCAUACACCACAGAAUAAUUAGGACCAGGACAGGCAGUAGGCAAUAUGUCUUACAAUUUAUCAGACCUGGGCAUUGGAGGAAUGCAGUCGGCUGCCUCAGCUCUGAAAUCAAAGGCUGAGGAUUAUGUCAACCAGCCAGAUGUGGAGUUGCAGUGGGCAGUGAAGGCCUAUGCUCAUGCGAAACCUACUUCAAUGUA